rnacentral:rRNA from 1 species
UUGGAGGGCAAGUCUGGUGCCAGCAGCCGCGGUAAUUCCAGCUCCAAUAGCGUAUAUUAAAGUUGUUGCAGUUAAAAAGCUCGUAGUUGAAUUUCGGAAUCCAUCCGUCGGUCGGGCUUCACGGUCCGCACUGGUGUGAUGGAUUCCUACCUUCUGAAUAACCAGCAUGUCAUUAAUUUGGUGCGUUGGGGAAGCAGGACUGUUACCUUGAAAAAAUUAGAGUGCUUAAAGCAGGCUAGUGCCUGAAUACAUUAGCAUGGAAUAAUGAAAUAGGACGUUCGACCCUAUUUUGUUGGUUUCUAGGAUCGACGUAAUGAUUAAUAGGGAUAGUUGGGGGCAUUAGUAUUCAAUUGUCAGAGGUGAAAUUCUUGGAUUUAUUGAAGACUAACUACUGCGAAAGCAUUUGCCAAGGAUGUUUUCAUUAAUCAAGAACGAAAGUUAGGGGAUCGAAGACAAUCAGAUACCGUCGUAGUCUUAACCAUAAACUAUGCCGACUAGGGAUCGGAUGAUGUUAAUUUUUUAAUGACUCAUUCGGCGCCUUACGGGAAAC